GACGAAGGCUGGCGGCGUGCUUAACACAUGCAAGUCGAGCGGUAAGGCUCCUUCGGGAGUACACGAGCGGCGAACGGGUGAGUAACACGUGAGUAAUCUGCCCUUCACUUCGGGAUAACCACCGGAAACGGUGGCUAAUACCGAAUACGACCAGUCUUCGCAUGAGGUGCUGGUGGAAAGUCUUUUCGGUGAAGGAUGUGCUCGCGGCCUAUCAGCUUGUUGGUGGGGUAAUGGCCUACCAAGGCUUCGACGGGUAGCCGGCCUGAGAGGGUGACCGGCCACACUGGGACUGAGACACGGCCCAGACUCCUACGGGAGGCAGCAGUGGGGAAUAUUGGACAAUGGGCGAAAGCCUGAUCCAGCAACGCCGCGUGAGGGAUGACGGCCGUCGGGUUGUAAACCUCUUUCAGUACCGACGAAGCGCCCUGUCGGGUGGUGACGGUAGGUACAGAAGAAGGACCGGCCAACUACGUG
rnacentral:rRNA from 1 species